rnacentral:rRNA from 1 species
GACGAACGCUGGCGGCGUGCUUAACACAUGCAAGUCGAGCGGGUAAGGCCCUUUCGGGGGUACACGAGCGGCGAACGGGUGAGUAACACGUGGGUGACCUGCCCUCAGCUCUGGGAUAAGCCUGGGAAACCGGGUCUAAUACCGGAUAUGACUCCAUGACGCAUGUUGUGGGGUGGAAAGCCUUGUGCGGCUGAGGAUGGGCCCGCGGCCUAUCAGCUUGUUGGUGGGGUGANGGCCUACCAAGGCGACGACGGGUAGCCGGCCUGAGAGGGCGACCGGCCACACUGGGACUGAGACACGGCCCAGACUCCUACGGGAGGCAGCA